UGGGGAAUUUUGGACAAUGGGCGAAAGCCUGAUCCAGCAAUGCCGCGUGUGUGAAGAAGGCCUUCGGGUUGUAAAGCACUUUUGUCCGGAAAAGAAAAUCCUUGGCUCUAAUACAGUCGGGGGAUGACGGUACCGGAAGAAUAAGCACCGGCUAACUACGUGCCAGCAGCCGCGGUAAUACGUAGGGUGCAAGCGUUAAUCGGAAUUACUGGGCGUAAAGCGUGCGCAGGCGGUUUGCUAAGACCGAUGUGAAAUCCCGGGCUCAACCUGGGAACUGCAUUGGUGACUGGCAGGCUAGAGUAUGGCAGAAGGGGUAGAAUUCCACGUGUAGCAGUGAAAAUGCGUAGAGAUGUGGAGGAAUACCGAUGGCGAAGGCAGCCCCCGGGCCAAUACUGACGCUCAUGCACGAAAAGCGUGGGGAGCAAAACAGGAUUAGAUACCCUGGUAGUCCACGCCCUAAAACGAUGUCAACUAGUUGUUGGGGA
rnacentral:rRNA from 1 species